UAGAGUUUGAUCCUGGCUCAGGAUGAACGCUAGCUACAGGCUUAACACAUGCAAGUCGAGGGGAAACGGCAUUGAGUGCUUGCACUCUUUGGACGUCGACCGGCGCACGGGUGAGCAACGCGUAUCCAACCUUCCCAUUACUGUGGGAUAACCUGCCGAAAGGCCGACUAAUACCGCAUAGUCUUCGAUGACGGCAUCAGAUUUGAAGUAAAGAUUUAUCGGUAAUGGAUGGGGAUGCGUCUGAUUAGCUUGUUGGCGGGGUAACGGCCCACCAAGGCGACGAUCAGUAGGGGUUCUGAGAGGAAGGUCCCCCACAUUGGAACUGAGACACGGUCCAAACUCCUACGGGAGGCAGCAGUGAGGAAUAUUGGUCAAUGGACGGAAGUCUGAACCAGCCAAGUAGCGUGCAGGAUGACGGCCCUAUGGGUUGUAAACUGCUUUUGUAUGGGGAUAAAGUCAAUCACGUGUGAUUGUUUGCAGGUACCAUACGAAUAAGGACCGGCUAAUUCCGUGCCAGCAGCCGCGGUAAUACGGAAGGUCCAGGCGUUAUCCGGAUUUAUUGGGUUUAAAGGGAGCGUAGGCUGGAUAUUAAGUGUGUUGUGAAAUGUAGACGCUCAACGUCUGACUUGCAGCGCAUACUGGUUUCCUUGAGUACGCACAACGUUGGCGGAAUUCGUCGUGUAGCGGUGAAAUGCUUAGAUAUGACGAAGAACUCCGAUUGCGAAGGCAGCUGACGGGAGCGCAACUGACGCUUAAGCUCGAAGGUGCGGGUAUCAAACAGGAUUAGAUACCCUGGUAGUCCGCACAGUAAACG
rnacentral:rRNA from 1 species